ACUGACCUUUCCAAUACAGUGGAAAAGAGAUGACCAGAGUUUUCAGAAUAAAUGAAAACAAACCAAAUGAGAACAGGCAAGGUAUCUUUAUUUAGAGCUAGCAACAGCAAAAGAGUCAGCCAUCAUCACUCGCAUUUUGGCAGAGACUGAAAGGCAGGCAGAGGAGCAGGAAAGUUUUAUAGCAAAACAAAGGGAAGGCUUCAGGCUACAUUCUUGAGGUGGCUCCUGCUGUGGAAACAGUGGGCAGAAUGUACAUUCCAAGAACAGGGGAAGGAGUGAGGAGCCUCCAGUGGUCCAUGUCCACCUGUGCCUGGGUCAGCCAGGUCACAUCCUCUUAAUGACCUCUGGCAUGAAGACAUUGUGUCAACCCUUUGAGAAAGCAUGAUCUUCAUUUGAAGAGGAUAAAGCAGAGUGC